rnacentral:rRNA from 1 species
UGGGGAAUAUUGCACAAUGGGGGAAACCCUGAUGCAGCGACGCCGCGUGGAGGAAGAAGGUCUUCGGAUUGUAAACUCCUGUUGUUGGGGAAAAUAAGGAUGGUACCCAACAAGGAAGUGACGGCUAACUACGUGCCAGCAGCCGCGGUAAAACGUAGGUCACAAGCGUUGUCCGGAAUUACUGGGUGUAAAGGGAGCGCAGGCGGGUAUGCAAGUUGGAAGUGAAAUACAUGGGCUCAACCCAUGAACUGCUUUCAAAACUGUGUAUCUUGAGUAGUGCAGAGGUAGGCGGAAUUCCCGGUGUAGCGGUGGAAUGCGUAGAUAUCGGGAGGAACACCAGUGGCGAAGGCGGCCUACUGGGCACCAACUGACGCUGAGGCUCGAAAGUGUGGGUAGCAAAC